AUACGGAGGGUGCAAGCGUUAAUCGGAAUUACUGGGCGUAAAGCGCACGCAGGUGGCUAGGUCAGUCGGAUGUGAAAGCCCUGGGCUUAACCUGGGAACUGCAUUCGAUACUGCCUAGCUAGAGUAUGGGAGAGGGAAGUGGAAUUCCCGGUGUAGCGGUGAAAUGCGUAGAUAUCGGGAAGAACAUCAGUGGCGAAGGCGGCUAUCUGGACCAAUACUGACGCUGAGGUGCGAAAGCGUGGGGAGCAAACGGGAUUAGAAACCCCAGUAGUCC
rnacentral:rRNA from 1 species